UCUGGCUGGCCAACAAGGAUUGUA
rnacentral:piRNA from 1 species